rnacentral:rRNA from 1 species
UACGGGGGGGGCAAGCGUUGUUCGGAAUUACUGGGCGUAAAGGGCGCGUAGGCGGCCUGCUAAGUCACACGUGAAAUCCCUCGGCUCAACCGGGGAACUGCGUGUGAUACUGGCGGGCUUGAAUUCGGGAGAGGGAUGUGGAAUUCCAGGUGUAGCGGUGAAAUGCGUAGAUAUCUGGAGGAACACCGGUGGCGAAGGCGGCAUCCUGGGCCGGCAUUGACGCUGAGGCGCGAAAGCCAGGGGAGCAAACGGG